GGGGUGGGUUUGACCAGCAUUGUGUGGUCCCAUUUUCAGAAGAGAGAGGUGGAGAUGCAUUGGAACUGGCAAAACAUGCCUCCUUCCCCCUGGCCGAGAACUUGCUGGCCUUGAAAGCUGAGAGCCGUGGGACAGUCUUGCCUCCGGAUGGAUCAUUUGCUUAAGUUGACCGUAAAAUUGUGUCUGCUCCAAUGCCGCCAUCGGGGUGCUGGAGGGAGCCUAGGCCAUUCCAGCUGUUUGGCACAGUGGCUGGAGGGCAAGUAAGAUGCCAAGUCAAGAUUCCCUAGAGAGAAGGCAUGGUUCAAAUGCCUCCCUUGCAGCCUGUGGCAUGAAUAUUGCCUCUGAGAAGAGCAACUGAUAAUAUCUCAGCCUGGGGAGGAGUUCCUGCUGCUUUGACAUCAUCGCCACUUGGAUAAUUCCUUCAUUCCUAUAGUGGAAGAUGUUCUGCGGUGGGGGGUAAGGACCCUGGAAAAAUGCCAACAUCUACCAGCUGGUCCCCACUUGUGGUUCUGGCCCCAGCCUGUCUGCAGUCAACCCAGGGCUUUUACUAGAAACGGCUUCUGCCACUUGGACAGAAGAAUAAAUGAUUGUUUAUUCCACUGAGGUGGUCUAGAGACCUCAUUAAAAUGAUAUUUACUCUGUGCCAAUUUGCUUUGCUCAACCAACCAACCAACCAGGAUAAAUAGUCCUUGAAGCCAAGCUUUAUGUGACAUUGCAUUUUUUAUUUUAAUCUUGUUUACUAUACUCUUUUAAAACUUGUUUGAUUUUUGCAAUGACCAUUGGUUAUAAAGUUAAUUGAUCUAC